AAAGAGCCUGAGCCUGAAUUACCCUACCUAGAAGCUUUUCCUAUUGGUGAAGAUAUAUGGGAUGAAGUGUGGUCUUUCUCUGGGGGUACGGUGACUCCGGAUGAAGCUUUAAAACCAACUGCACAAGACCUUGUUAAACAUCAGGAGGAGACGACCGUUCCGGGGAAAAUAAAUGACAUUCCGAAGAGAAGUGAUGGAGAACGUCUGUCUCAGCCUCUGGAGGAAUUCUACAUCUCUCUGAUUAAGUCGAGAAACGUGUCAGAGAAAUCUGCGGCUCUACGGUCUCCUCCGAGGAAGUGUGAGGAGUCUGAGAAGACUGUACAACCUGCGCCAGAUACUAAGGAUCCCUUCCUGCCUUUAACUCCAGAAAAAGAGAAUCUGCAAACGCAGGAUGAUAAUCUUCUGUUUUGUGAAUCCUCGAGUCUUAACCAAACAGCGGCAGCAUGUAACUCGCUAACAGGAUUCCAGAAAUUUCAGAUCCCAAGGAGAUCAGCAACAGUGGCCCUUGGACCGGCCGCGCGGUUAGCUGCCACGCCUGGAAGUCUCUCACACUGGGGAUACUGAGCUUAGGAGAUAAUUCACAAUGGAAACAUAUGCGUCUGAAUGUAAUAAUGUGUUUCCAGAAUGUUUUUUUUAAUAAUUUUUUCCUGAAUAAUUUUUUUGUUAGAGGUUUGGUUGUAUAUCUGUGAAGACAUUGGACCUGAGAUGUGAUAAGUCUGUAGUAGAGGUUGGUUGGUCUUCAAACGCUAUGGAGCAGAUUCUGCACAACUACAAGUUGUCAUAUUCCUGGGAAGAUAAUACUGCUAUAUAAUAGCUUGGAAAGAUAAUACUGCUAUAGCUUGGGAACAUAAUACUGCUAUAUUGUAGCUUGGGAAGAUAAUACUGCUAUAUAGUAGCUUGGGAAAAUAAGACUGCUAUAGCUUGGGAAAAUAAUACUGCUAUAUUGUAGCUUGGGAAAAUAAUACUGCUAUAGCUUGGGAAGAUAAUACUGAUAUUUUGUAGCUUAGAAAGAUAAUACUGUUAUAUAGUAGAUUAGGAAGAUAAUACUUCUAUAUUGUAGCUUGGGAAGAUAAUACUGAUAUUUUGUAGCUUAGAAAGAUAAUACUGUUAUAUAGUAGAUUAGGAAGAUAAUACUUCUAUAUUGUAGCUUGGGAAGAUAAUACUGAUAUUUUGUAGCUUAGGAAGAUAAUACUGCUAUAUAGUAGAUUAGGAAGAUAAUACUGCUAUAUUGUAGCUUGGGAAGAUAAUACUGCUAUUUUGUAGCUUGUGAAGAUAAUACUGCUAUGUUGUAGCUUGGGAAGAUAAUACUGCUAUAUUGUAACUUGAGAAGAUAAUACUGCUAUAUUGUAGCUUGUGAAGAUAAUACUGCUAUAUUGUAGCUUGUGAAGAUAAUACUGCUAUAUUGUAGCUUGUGAAGAUAAUACUGCUAUAUUGUAGCUUGGGAAGAUAAUACUGUUUAUUGUAGCUUGUGAAGAUAAUACUGCUAUAUUGUAGCGUGUGAAGAUAAUACUGCUAUAUUGUAGCUUGUGAAGAUAAUACUGCUAUAUUGUAGCUUGUGAAGAUAAUACUGCUAUAUUGUAACUUGAGAAGAUAAUACUGCUAUAUUGUAGCUUGUGAAGAUAAUACUGCUAUAUUGUAGCUUGUGAAGAUAAUACUGCUAUAUUGUAGCUUGUGAAGAUAAUACUGCUAUAUUGUAGCUUGUGAAGAUAAUACUGCUAUAUUGUAACUUGUGAAGAUAAUACUGCUAUAUUGUAGCUUGGGAAGAUAAUACUGAUAUUUUGUAGCUUGGGAAGAUAAUACUGCUAUAUUGUAGCUUGAGAACAUAAUGCUGCUAUAUUGUAGCUUGUAAAGAUAAUACUGCUAUACUGUAGCUGUUUCUGCUGUUUACGUCCAGAUUCCAAGGACUUUAUGCGGCACUAACAUUUAGUGCUAUUUUGCGAUGCAGAAUAUUAGGAAAGAAGUUCCUGUGGGCGACUCUAUGGAGGGGCCACGUGCAGCUAUCUCUGUAGAUACCGUCCGUGUUACUAAACCCCAGGAUGAGGGGAAAUCACAGCUACUGUAUGAGACUAUUAUUUUUUUCUUUUCUAGGGAAAUUUUACGAAGAAUGUGUCACUGUUUUGGUGAGAAAUAUAAAUAUUUGCAGAAAUUAAAUCAAUGUUGUAUUGAUAGGUCAGUGCCUCAAAGGUGUUCUCUGGUGGAGAACAAAUGUUUUCAAAAUAACUGAUACCAGAAAGUAAAUUACUUCUAUAUAAAA